GCCUGGCUGGCUCAGUCGGUAGAGUGUGGGUCUCUUGAUCUCGUGGUUGUGAGUUUGAGCCCCAUGUGGGGUG
rnacentral:tRNA from 1 species